AUUGAACGCUGGCGGCAUGCCUUACACAUGCAAGUCGAACGGCAGCACGGGAGCAAUCCUGGUGGCGAGUGGCGAACGGGUGAGUAAUGUAUCGGAACGUACCUUUCAGUGGGGGAUAACGUAGCGAAGUUACGCUAAUACCGCAUAUUCUGUGAGCAGGAAAGCAGGGGAUCGCAAGACCUUGCGCUGAUUGAGCGGCCGAUAUCAGAUUAGCUAGUUGGUGAGGUAAAGGCUCACCAAGGCGACGAUCUGUAGCGGGUCUGAGAGGAUGAUCCGCCACACUGGAACUGAGACACGAUCCAGACUCCUACGGGAGGCAGCAGUGGGGAAUUUUGGACGAAUGGGCGCAAGCCUGAUCCAGCCAUGCCGCGUGAGUGAAGAAGGCCUUCGG
rnacentral:rRNA from 1 species